UACGGGGGGGCAAGCGUUGUUCGGAAUUACUGGGCGUAAAGCGUGUGUAGGCGGAUCGUUAAGUACCUUGUGAAAUCCCACGGCUCAACCGUGGAACUGCUGGGUAUACUGGCGAUCUUGAGCCACCUAGGGGCGAGCGGAACAAGCGGUGGAGCGGUGAAAUGCGUAGAUAUCGCUUGGAACGCCAAUGGUGAAAACAGCUCGCUGGGGGUGUGCUGACGCUGAGACACGAAAGCCAGGGGAGCGAACGGG
rnacentral:rRNA from 1 species